AUGAACGCCGGCGGCGUGCCUAAUACAUGCAAGUCGCGCGAACGGACGAGAAGCUUGCUUCUCUGAUGUUAGCGGCGGACGGGUGAGUAACACGUGGAUAACCUACCUAUAAGACUGGGAUAACUUCGGGAAACCGGAGCUAAUACCGGAUGAUAUUUUGAACCGCAUGGUUCAAAAGUGAAAGACGGUCUUGCUGUCACUUAUAGAUGGAUCCGCGCUGCAUUAGCUAGUUGGUAAGGUAACGGCUUACCAAGGCAACGAUGCAUAGCCGACCUGAGAGGGUGAUCGGCCACACUGGAACUGAGACACGGUCCAGACUCCUACGGGAGGCAGCAGUAGGGAAUCUUCCGCAAUGGGCGAAAGCCUGACGGAGCAACGCCGCGUGAGUGAUGAAGGUCUUCGGAUCGUAAAACUCUGUUAUUAGGGAAGAACAUAUGUGUAAGUAACUGUGCACAUCUUGACGGUACCUAAUCAGAAAGCCACGGCUAACUACGUG
rnacentral:rRNA from 1 species